rnacentral:tRNA from 1 species
UCUCCUGUAGCUCAGUGGUAGAGCAUCCGAUCGGUGUGCGGAAGGUCAUAGGUUCGACUCCAGUUGGGAGAA